AGUUAGAGGGCGCAUUUCGACCUUGUCCUCACUCCUAACCCUUCAGUGACCAUACUGGCUGGGCGAAAUUGAAAAACUAAAAUUAAAGAACUCACAACAACUUGAAACAUGUUGGCAGCGAUCGUGAGUUGUUUCUAUUCCUGCGGAAAUAAUGGUGCCACUUGUGAACUGUGACUAAAUUUUUGCCUUGAAAUUGAGCUUGUGCAUCUCCAGACAAGAUUGAUGAUGUCAGCCGACUCAGCCCCACACAUAUUCCGUGCGACAGUUGAAAGGGAAUCAGACCAAUAAAAGUCUGAGUAGGGCAGGAAAAAUCGCCGGAUGCUUAGGAGCCAGGAUGGAGACAGAGUUCUCCGAAGAUAUUUGUCUUGAAGAAAAAACGAGAUCCAGAAAACCGAGUCCCAGAUUCUCGAGGUAUAAGGAGGACGUCGAGGAAUUUCAAUCGAGGUACGGCUCCCUUUUCAGAGAAAAAAAGGGACGAAAGAUGACUCUUGACAUACGAGCAGUAGGUAAGCAGCUGACAGCGGAUGAGGCGUGCUCCAUGAAAAAGACAUUGGUGAAAUUAAGUAAGCAGUUUGAUAAAGAGGCCAAAAUGGCGCAAAUUGACACCCCUUACUACAAUUGAAGCAAUGAGUUGUCCAAACCACCGUGCGACAAUAUGACAAAACACCAUUCAUAUGAUAACAACAUGUUAUGUUCAUUGACCCUACAUGUAAAUAACAUUUGACCUUUGUCAUGUGACCUGAAACUCGGGCAGGAUGUUAAGGUCAAGUCCACCCCAUAUAAAUGUUGAUUUGAAUUAAAGAGAGAAAAAUCAAACAAGCAUAAUGAGAAAAAUUUCAUCGAAAUCGGAUGUAAAAUAAGAAAGUUAUGACAUUUUGAAGUUUCACUUAUUUAAAAAAAAUUGUUUUAUUCACAACUCAGUGACAUGCACAUGAGAGAGUCAAUAAUGUCCAUCACUCACUAUUUCUUUAUUUUUUGGUUUGAACCAUAUUUCAUUUGUUACCAAUUUGAUAUUAUUGAAAACCAACUUAACCGAACCAUAAAAUGUUAUAACAAUGGUAAUACCACAUGUUCAGGAAGGAAUACAAAUUUGUUUCAUACGAAAAUGAGGAGAAAAUUAGAAUAUUUCAAAUGAUAAAAUACAAAAGAUAUAGUGAGUGAGUGAUGUCAUCAGUUCCCUCAUUUGCAUACCGUACAGGAUGUGUAUAUAACUGUUACGUGAAAUUAAGCGAAAAUUAUAAAUGUCAUCACUUUCUUAUUUUACAUCCGAUUUUGAUAAAUUUUCAGUGUUAUACUUGGAUUUUUCUCUUUUUCUUCAAGUCAACUUUUUGUUGGGGUGGACUUGUCCCCUAGUGAUACACCACUACCAUUAUGUCAAAGUUUUGUGAACUCGAUCCACUACUUCUAAGUAACUUUUAUGAUGACAUUUCACAAACUUAGGGUUAAGGUUUCAGGAUUGCCUCAGUCGCCGCCUCUUAUCAAAUGUCGCCCAUUUGUCAUUUUGAAUUUCAUACGUGCAAAAGUGUGUGGGAUUCCUACAAAAUGUCCUUAAAAUAUCCAUGUUUGGGGUCAAUAUAUACAAACAUUUGAGCUCGCGCUUCGCGCAGUCAUCAUUUGGUUUAUAGUGAAAUACGUAUGGUCUUCAUGAAUUCCUACAAACAAGCUUUACAAUGCUUAUGUCUGAAUUUCCAAAAUUUUCAAAUCGCGCUUCGCGAUCUCAAUAAUUGAUUAGUGCAAUGCGUAUGUUAAUCAUGAUUACAAUGACUUCAUGUGUUUAGAUGUAAUUCUAACAAAAUCAGCAGAACAUGGCACUAGCAUUGGAUGACUAUGGCGAGAUAUAUAUAUAUACUCUUAAUGAAUUCUUAAAAUAUAGUCCUUCAAAUGUCUCUGUUUGUGGUCAAUAUAUACACAAAUUUCAGCUCGCGCUUCGUGCUCGCAUUGUUUGUUUAACGAGACGGGACAAAAAAUUGCUUGAUAAUAUAAUAACCCUUUGAAGUCUGAAUAUGAAAAGUGUUCAACUCGCGCUUUGCGCUCGGAUUAUUUAAUCAGUGAGAUACAUAUCCGUUUAAUGGCACUGUAUGUCCUUAAAAUGUCUCUAUUAGUUCAGUAUAUCUGGCAACUGAGCGCGCUUCGCGCGAUCACUAAGUGACUCGACAUUUUUGCUGGUGCCCCCCCCCCCAAUGCCGUGACCCAAGGUACGCCACUGGGAUAUUAUAUCCCUCGUGAUUUACGCCAGUGAAGUUAAGGCUCAUGAUCCGUUGCGAGUCGAUUUUCAAAGAAAUUGUUUCUAUAUCAUGUGAAAUAAACAUUUCAUAAUUAUUUUCAAAUCCCAAAUCGACCCAUUAAACAGUUUGGUCGUUUUAACAUUUGCUUUUUCAUUAUUUCGUAUUUUCAGCAAAACAUACCGUAUAAAUUUUCAUAAAAUACAAUUUUACGGUCAUCAUGACUGUUGAAGAAUAUUGGAUAAUGAUUAAUUAAUUUUGUCUUAAUGCUCAUCAUGUGUCACAUAAAAACUAUAAGUUUUACAAUGGAGGACUCCUUUGUACAGCAGUUCUUAACUGUUUUUUAUCGAUUGUGGUAGAUUCAAACAUGAAUGAAUAAACAAAGGAAGAAAUGAAUAAAUAAAUAAUGAGACCUAUUUCAUUUGUUUUGUAUCGGAAGGUGUUAUACAUUAUAUUAUUUUCAAAUAUUCAGAUGGAUGAAGAGUAAUGGGAAUUGCAUCCAAAUUUUUUCUCUGUUUCAUAAUGUUGAUUUUGAAGUAUAUUAUUACUGAAAUCGUCUAGGGGAAUUAAGAAAGAUUUUAAGAGGUGCAUGUAUGAUAUAUGGAAUGGACAGAGCAUGACUCGUUUUACGAUAAAUCGUAUUUGAUUAUUUUUUGUCCAUUAAUAGUUACUUCAAAUCAUCACGUCAAUUAUUAUAUUUAUACCCAAAACCUUUUAAUCGAAGAAUCAUACUUUGCACUUAAAUUGCUGAAGAUAAUCAAACGUGUAUUAGUGACCAAUAUUAACUGUUUGUAUAGAUACAUGAAUUUAUUACAAGAUUGAAAUUCUCGAAUAAUAGACUUUAUUAUGUCAUGCUAUAUCAGCAAUCACUGCAUUCAUUAAAGUUACAUCAAUGUUCAAAUCAA